rnacentral:rRNA from 1 species
AGGACGAACGCUGGCGGCGUGCCUAAUACAUGCAAGUCGAACGAGGUCCAGUCGGUAGCAAUACCGACGAAGAUCGAGUGGCGAACGGGUGCGGAACACGUGAGCAACCUGCCCCGAAGAUCGGGAUAACGGCGGGAAACUGCCGCUAAUACCGAAUGCCCCACGAGCCGCAUGGUUUGUGAGGAAGGAUUCUGCUUCGGAGGGGCGUCGCGGCCUAUCAGCUUGUUGGUGGGGUAACGGCCUACCAAGGCGACGACGGGUAGCUGGUCUGAGAGGAUGAUCAGCCACACUGGGACUGAGACACGGCCCAGACUCCUACGGGAGGCAGC